rnacentral:rRNA from 1 species
CCUACGGGGAGCAGCAGUCGGGAAUAUUGGGCAAUGGAGGAAACUCUGACCCAGCAAUACCGCGUGAAGGAUGAAGGUUUUCGGAUUGUAAACUUCUGUUAUAAAGGAAGAAAAAAAUGACGGUACUUUAUAAGUAAGCCCCGGCAAACUAUGUGCGAGCAGCCGCGGUGAUACAUAGGGGGCAAGCGUUAUCCGGAUUUAUUGGGUUUAAAGGGUGCGCAGGCGGAGGUGCAAGUCAGUGGUCAAAUUGCGGGGCUCAACCCCGUACUGCCGUUGAAACUGCAUCCCUUGAGUGCGCGAGAAGUAUGCGGAAUGCGUGGUGUAGCGGUGAAAUGCAUAGAUAUCACGCAGAACUCCGAUUGCGAAGGCAGCAUACCGGCGCGCAACUGACGCUCAUGCACGAAAGCGUGGGUAUCGAACAGGAUUAGAUACCCCUGUAGUC